UUCCCUGCUGAACCCAACUUCUCCUCCUCUUCGUUCAUUGUUAGCUCGCCUCCACCUCCUUCAAUCCCUUCAUUAGCAGAUUCACCACCACCACUUUUCAUCAACAGAUUCAAUCACCACCACCAUCACUCUUCGUCACCAAUUAUUUCUAGGAUUUGUUUUCGAUCCAGGGAUUUCUUAUCCGUUCACAAGAAAAUUAGGGUUUUUGAGUUCAAAUUUGGAAUGUUUGAUUUGAAAUUGAAGGAGGAUUGAAAUUGGUGAAUGGGAAUGUUUAAUUAGGUGAUUAGAUUUCAAUAAGAAUUUUUCGAAAGUUGAAGGAGGAUUGAGACCGAAUGAGAAUCAAAGUUCUUUUUCAACUUUCGCCAACUUCUCAUUGAAAUUGAACCACUACCACCACGAUCUUCAAAACAUUGAAGGUUAUGGUUUUAAUUUGAGGAUUUGAUUUUAAAGAAGAACAUUAAUUGGGAAAUUGAGGAGUUCGGGUUUUCUAGAACAAUAGUUCUAGGGUUUCAGUUGAGGCGAUUGGUGAAGUAGCAUUUCAGAGGGUGCUAAGGAUUGGGAGGCUAGAGGGCUUGAUGCUGGGCUGCGGCUUGUGCAAAAGUUAAUUGGCUGAAUUAAAGACAAAUAAAAUAUAAUAUUGGAUGCAAUGGAACUGAAUUCAGCUUCUGUGCUUGAGCCGGAAUGAAAAUGUAAUAGAAGUUGAUUACAGGCCCUAUGUUUUGAUAUUCUGUGGAUUUGAUGUGUAGUGGCAAGAAGAAGAAGAGAGGUUAAAGGGCAGCAGGAGGUCAAAAUGCUUUAUUUUCACCCCGUGUUAUUAAUGGAAUGUACAAGACCAUACAAGUUCUCAUUCGGGUGGAGUUCGAGAGGGUUUCAACCAUCUGAUUUCGCAAGAUGGAAAUCCAUGGCGUCGACUGUUAGUAUUAAAGAAGAAGUGGCUGAAAUAAGAGCUAGCAGGGGAAGAUAGCAGCGUCCUACAACAGCAGCAACAAGUUGGGUUACUAUGGGUUCCGAAAUUGGUUAGGCGAAACUAUUGGUUUACUGACUGAUAAGUGAAAUUGAAGACUGCAUGUGUUGUUGUCAUGAAUCAACUUGGAUGUACCAAAGAUUGAGAGUGUAGACUGUGAUGGUAGUAUGGGCAGUUAUUGAGAUGAGAAUGAAUAUGGAAUCAAGCUUCUACUCGAACUGAAGCAGCAACGUCGACGGAAAUGUGGGGUUUCUUAUUGUGGUCUGUACUUCAAGCUGUUGAUCUCAAUGGAUCGGCAGUUGAAGGAAAUGCUAGAAGACAACGGAAGGAAGGAAACUAGAUCGAUUCAGUAAACUGAAAGUGAUCAGUUGGUGGAGCAACUGAAAUAGGAAAUAGUGCUUCUCACGGGAAGUGGAAAUGGCAUUGUGGUUCAUUCUUAUUGCAGUGGCGAAGAUGUUUCUCGGCUGGUGAUGUUGGCUGAAAACGAUGGAGUCUGUAUGGUUCUCAGAUUUGAAUGGACUGAAAUUAGGGUUGCAAGGUUAAUUGGCUAAGCUACCGGUGGAGGAUGGUCAGGGAGGUAUUUGCUGCCAUGGUUGCAAUAGGUGAUUGGUUGAGCUGAGUGCAAUCACUGAAAUGGAUGGUUGCUGGCUUUUGCAUUUGAAGAUCAGUUGAAGACAUCCAGAAGUUCAGGGAAGUGGACAGUGGUUAAUUCAUAUUGCAGUAGUGAAGAUGGAGAGUUGGACGUGACUGAGAUGGUUUGAAUGGGGUUUGUAUGGAGUUGUUGAAGAAGGUGUAGUGGCUGAUGUGAAUCGAGUAUACAGCAAGGACGUACAUGAACAUGGAAGCUAACAAUCCACGGAAUGAUCUGAGGUUGAUUAGUGGCUGAUUUAGUUCAACUCAUAACCAUGGUAUAAUCUCGUUACAGAACAACAACAAUAUGUUCGGGCAGUCGACAGUGAAGAUUGGAAGAUGGAGAAUAAGAUAGAUGACAUUAUUGAAGCUCUUUACGACAACAGAGACAUCAACAAACGAUAUUUUGGGGUUAUUCUCUACGUCAAUAGUGAAGUCGAGUUGAUGGUUUCUCUAAUUCCCACUAUCUAAAAUGAAUGUUGGUUAUGAUUGCAGCAAUAACAAAUGGGAUUGGGGUUCGCAAGGUUCAAAUGGGGAUAAAUUGCAUUGCCUCUAUCUUGGUGAUUUGUGGAUAUGAUCGGAACUGGAUUUAAUGGGUGCUGAUUUGUUUUGCUCUCGAGCUCGAGUUGGUGGUGUUGCUGGUGACGAGAUUCUAAAGUGGAUUUGGCAACCGGAGUUUGUAAUGGACCGGCCUGGGCUGGAUUUUGGAAGGCAGGUAGUGAUUGUUAUCAGGGUCGUUCCUGGGAAAAAUUUGCCCCGAAGUGAAUUCAUUUUUUUUUUGCCCUAAACAACAUCAGUACCUUUUAUACUUAUAGAAACAUUCGAUUAAGGCAUCAACCUAGAUUCCGGUUGGUUGUUUUGAUGGGAUUGUAAGAAAGGGAAUUGAAAAAUGAAAAACUAUAGUGCGCCGUGAUCUGGGAAGAAAGGAGGCAUUAGAGCCGUAAAGGUGAAGAGGAAAGAACGAGAUAAAAACAAACUAAAACGUUUCUUCUCAAAGUUAAAUUGUAUAGAUAAUUUGUUUUAAACCCUUUAAAUUAAUGUAACUUGUAGUUCAGUCCAAAUUUUUUCUUUUUC